rnacentral:rRNA from 1 species
UACGUAGGUCCCGAGCGUUGUUCGGAAUGACUGGGCGUAAAGGGUGCGUAGGCGGUGUAGCAAGUUAGAAGUGAAAUACCUAGAGCUUAACUCAGGUGCUGCUUCUAAAACUGCUAUACUUGAGUGCAGUAGAGGAAAGUGGAAUUCCUAGUGUAGCGGUGGAAUGCGUAGAUAUUAGGAGGAACAUCAGUGGCGAAGGCGACUUUCUGGACUGUAACUGACGCUGAGGCACGAAAGUGUGGGGAGCAAACAGG